CGGGGUGUAGCGCAGCCUGGUAGCGCACUUGGUUUGGGACCAAGGGGCCGUAGGUUCAAAUCCUACCACCCCGACCA
rnacentral:tRNA from 2 species